AUUGAACGCUGGCGGCAGGCCUAACACAUGCAAGUCGAGCGGAGCGGCGGACGGGCGAGUAAUGCCUAGGAAUCUGCCUGGUCGUGGGGGAUAGCGUCCGGAAACGGGCGCUAAUUACUCAUAUUCUCACAUGAGCCUAGGUUGGAUUAGCUAGUUGGUGGGGUAAAGGCCUACCAAGGCGACGAUCCGUAGCUGGUCUGAGAGGAUGAUCAGUCACACUGUAACUGAGACACGGUCCAGACUCCUACGGGAGGCAGCAGUGGGGAAUAUUGGACAAUGGGCGAAAGCCUGAUUCAGCCAUGCAGCGUGUGUGAAGAAGGUCUUCGGAUUGUAAAGCACUUUAAGUUGGGAGGCGUUACCGACAGAAUAAGCACCGGCUAACUUCGUGCCAGCAGCCGCGGUAAUAC
rnacentral:rRNA from 1 species